GACGAACGCUGGCGGCGUGCUUAACACAUGCAAGUCGAACGGAAAGGCCCUGCUUUUGUGUGGUUCUCGAGUGGCGAACGGGUGAGUAACACGUGAGUAUCCUGCCCUUGACUUUGGGAUAACUUCAGGAAACUGGGGCUAAUACCGGAUAGGAGCUCCUGCUGCAUGGUGGGGUUUGGAAAGUUUAGGCGGUUGUGGAUGGACUCGCGGCUUAUCAGCUUGUUGGUGGGGUAGUGGCUUACCAAGGCUUUGACGGGUAGCCGGCCUGGGAGGGUGACCGGCCACAUGGGGACUGAGAGACGGACCAGACUCGUACGGGAGGCAGCAGUGGGGAAUAUUGCACAAUGGGCGGAAGCGUGAUGAAGCAACGCUGCGUGCGGGAUGACGGCCUUCGGGUUGUAAACCGCUUUCGCCUGUGACGAAGCGUGAGUGACGGUAAUGGGUAAAGAAGCACCGGCUAACUACGUG
rnacentral:rRNA from 1 species